UGUACUGUUCUUAGUUUGGUAACGGCAUGUGUCAGGAAUACACGCUACUAUCGCUUGGACAGCAAUACAGAACUCAGGCUAACUCUUUAGGACCAUUUUAAGGAUUUAUUACUAUCUGGAAACCAUAGGAAGGGCAGUCGUCAAGCCUCCUCUGAUCAAUCACCCGGAACAGGAUAUAUGGAACAUCACCAUUUUUCCAGUAACCAUAAAAUGAAAUGAUAAAGGAAGUCAAUGGUUCUGUAACAUAUAGGUUAGCACCACCAUUGCUGGAUUAAUGACUUCAAAGGACUGCAGCAAAGCAUUAUGAUUGACCUACAGUAUCAUACCAUUUAACUAGUUUGACUUGUAUAACUUACUUCCAUCUCAGUCAUGCUAUCAAUAUAAGAUGAAUGCCCCAUACAUAAGCUGUACACACAGAGGACACAGCCAUUUUAUAGGCUGAACCAGUGCUCUUUAGAAUGAGACCUACUCGAAAGUCCUUAUCUGGUAACUACAGUAUGUGACUGCUACUUGUAAAGACCACAGCUCACCUGGUGAUAGGACUGUAUAUGAUCUAUUGGGGUUUCAAGUGAUCAUUACACCUAACACCUUAACAAGAUGUUUUGGGGUGACCACUUCCCCAUUCCUUUUAGCUUGCUGUAAUGCUGAGGAGUUUCCUCAUCAGGUAGGAACUCUUCAGCAGUCUCUACAGUGCUCCGAUUGGCUUAUGUAACAUCACAGUCACUCAGGCAAUAGUGUUAUAUCUUGAUGUACAUUUCUUUAUUUCAAUGAAUCAUGCAGUAUGAUGAUUAUGUAUUUUAUUUCUUAUUGGUAAUACUUGCAUGGUUACAGAUACUGUAGACAUCAAACCCACAUGGCUGCUCUCCUUCUCCUUCUCUCUCCCUUCCACUUCCUGAUCACAUGUUCAUCUGUGCAGCCAGAUUCUUAAAGUUACACUAACUCAUCUGGCUAAUGCACAUAAACUAUCUUCAUAGAUACUACAAAUAGGAGCACAUACAUGCCCCCUACAUACAUGCCCUAGAGAUGACCGUCAAAUGGUCCACCAUCCAUGGUGCCAAGAAACCAUCGUCUAGUUGGCAUAUAUUAUGACUUUGUCACACAUAGGGACUGAUUGUGACAAUGUGGACACAUACACCAAAGAAAGAAGUCAGCAAGUGCAAACGCUCCAAAUUAGACUUGAGCACAUGGAUGGAGUUUGCUAAUGCAUAAGGAUUGAUUCAUACUUGGAUAGAUCACACUAUCCAUAAGUUGGCGUUUUCUGGGCGGCUACUGGGAGGCCACCACAAGAUCACAUCAAACUUAUCCAUCUCAUUGGUGUGCGGUUAGCAUACCGACAGUCGGGAUCCUGGUGGUCACAAUACAGACUCCGUGAUCCUGACGGGGACACCAUACCGCCUCCGGUAUACUGACAAGGUAGGUGAUUCCCCCUCUAUGGGAGUCCAUGACACCCAUAGAGGAAGAUAGAACCUGUGGCAAGCGUAGUUGCCCUCACCACCCUGCCGGUUUCCCAACGCUCGGGAUGCUGAUGUCGGGAUAGUGACAUUCGGCAUCCCAGGCGGCGAUAUUACAUACCGAACCCAUCUCAUUAGACUCUUACAGGAAUGUCAAGGACUGGUUGGCCAACUUCAGUGCUCAUUUGCAGUGUGCAUAUGGAGAUGGAUGGAUGUUUCAGAUGGAUAUUUUGCACCCAGCAUGUGGUUUCCCAGAAAAGCAGCUGACUCCGAAUUAGCCCAAUAAUGUACAAUAUGUGGCACUGUCAGUGGAAUAUGUAAGAGUGCUAUUAUACAGCAUUUUAAUAGUUGUUAGAGUAGUGAUGACAUGGGCACAGACCAUUCCAUUGGGAAAUUCCUGUUUAGUCGCAUCUGAUGCGACUGCUGUCAAUGUGUACUGUACAGCAUACAAUAGUGAUAGAUGCAUGCCAUGCCAUUAGGGAAUCCCUUUUUGGUUGCAUUCAUCUGCAAUGCAACAAAUUCCUAACGUCAAUAAGCAUUGUGUGACAGUCUCCAUGUCAUGAGCAAGUCUGCAGUAUGCAUUUGUCAUCACAUUUUAAAGUUUAUCAUUGUAUAGUUUACUGUAUUGUUGGAUGCAAAACUACUGUAUAGCAGUACGUUUUAUGGUUUGUGGGUGAAACGGUGGGAAUACAGUAUUUACUAAAGUGCGGGUUUACAAAAGUGGGUAUGUUUUCCAUAGCAAUCCAAUCAUAUUCUGGCUAUUAUCUUUUAUAAUGUGCUAGAUAAAUAAGUACAAUCUGAUUGGUUGCUAUGGGAAACAUCUCCACAUUUGAAAUCCCGCACUUUAGUAAAUGUGGGGACAUUUACUAAGCAGUGAUAUGAGCGGAGAAGUGAGCCAGUGGAGAAGUGCCCAUGGCAACCAAUCAGCACUGAAGUAACAUCUAUAAUUUGCCUGCUAUAAAAUUAGACAGAGCUGCCUAUUGGUUGAUGGGGCAACUUCUCCACUGACCCACUUCUUCGCUCUUAUCCCUGCUUAGUAAAUUUCCCCCUAUAUCCCUAGACGUUAAUUGCUUGACAAUGGCUGUUUAACACACAUAUAGUACAUCAGCACCCCUGUCCUGGCAACUCAGUAAUGGUAAUAAUUUGUGUGAAUAAAGAUUCCUUAUUGAAGCUAA